AGUCAUCUCACAUUCAAUUCUUGCAAUUCACAUACUCAUUUGUACAAAUCCAUUCAUUCUCAACUCAUAUGUGAAAAUUCUCAAUCUUCAUUUAUUUUCAUGAUAUAAAAUUUAAUCACAUAUGAACUAACUGAUUUAUUAAUUUAUAACACAUAAAUAUUAAUUAUAAUUUUCUAGUUUACAUUACAACAUAAGAAAUAUUUAUACUAUACAAAAUACAUAAAAUGACUAAUGUGAGCCCUAUCUACAUGCA
rnacentral:misc_RNA from 1 species